CGCGGGAUGGAGCAGCCUGGUAGCUCGUCGGGCUCAUAACCCGAAGGUCGUUGGUUCAAAUCCAGCUCCCGCAACCA
rnacentral:tRNA from 2 species